rnacentral:rRNA from 1 species
CCACCACCAAAGCAUUUGCUGUACCGCGUUGACGGAGCGAAGCGACGUCAAACCGAUAAAACAGCAGUGUAAAGUGAGCCGCAGGGCGCUUUGCGCGACAGCGCAAAGGCAGGCGGUUUCGCGUAGCGAAAGCGAAUGCUUUGGGGUGGGGUGACUGCGUACCUUUUGUAUAAUGGGUCAGCGACUUAUAUUCUGUAGCAAGGUUAACCGAAUAGGGGAGCCGGAGGGAAACCGAGUCUUAAUUGGGCGUUAAGUUGCAGGGUAUAGACCCGAAACCCGGUGAUCUAGCCAUGGGCAGGUUGAAGGUUGGGUAACACUAACUGGAGGACCGAACCGACUAAUGUUGAAAAAUUAGCGGAUGACCUGUGGCUGGGGGUGAAAGGCCAAUCAAACCGGGAGAUAGCUGGUUCUCCCCGAAAGCUAUUUAGGUAGCGCCUCGUGAAUUCAUCUCCGGGGGUAGAGCACUGUUUCGGCUAGGGGGCCAUCCCGGCUUACCAACCCGAUGCAAACUGCGAAUACCGGAGAAUGUUAUCACGGGAGACACACGGCGGGUGCUAACGUCCGUCGUGAAGAGGGAAACAACCCAGACCGCCAGCUAAGGUCCCAAAGUCAUGGUUAAGUGGGAAACGAUGUGGGAAGGCCCAGACAGCCAGGAUGUUGGCUUAGAAGCAGCCAUCAUUUAAAGAAAGCGUAAUAGCUCACUGGUCGAGUCGGCCUGCGCGGAAGAUGUAACGGGGCUAAACCAUGCACCGAAGCUGCGGCAGCGACACUGUGUGUUGUUGGGUAGGGGAGCGUUCUGUAAGCCUGCGAAGGUGGCCUGUGAGGGUUGCUGGAGGUAUCAGAAGUGCGAAUGCUGACAUAAGUAACGAUAAAGCGGGUGAAAAGCCCGCUCGCCGGAAGACCAAGGGUUCCUGUCCAACGUUAAUCGGGGCAGGGUGAGUCGACCCCUAAGGCGAGGCCGAAAGGCGUAGUCGAUGGGAAACGGGUUAAUAUUCCCGUACUUGGUGUUACUGCGAAGGGGGGACGGAGAAGGCUAUGUUGGCCGGGCGACGGUUGUCCCGGUUUAAGCGUGUAGGCUGGUUUUCCAGGCAAAUCCGGAAAAUCAAGGCUGAGGCGUGA